rnacentral:rRNA from 1 species
UGGGGAAUAUUGGACAAUGGGGGGAACCCUGAUCCAGCAAUGCCGCGUGUGUGAAGAAGGCCUGCGGGUUGUAAAGCACUUUCAGUGGGGAGGAGAGUUGAUUGGUUAAGAGCUGAUUAAUGAGACGUUACCCAGAGAAGAAGCACCGGCUAACUCCGUGCCAGCAGCCGCGGUAAUACGGAGGGUGCGAGCGUUAAUCGGAAUUACUGGGCGUAAAGGGUGCGUAGGUGGUUUGAUAAGAUAUCUGUGAAAGCCCUGGGCUCAACCUGGGAAGGUCAGAUAAGACUGUUAGACUGGAGUAUGGGAGAGGGUAGUGGAAUUUCCGGUGUAGCGGUGAAAUGCGUAGAGAUCGGAAGGAACACCAGUGGCGAAGGCGGCUACCUGGACUGAUACUGACACUGAAGCACGAAAGCGUGGGGAGCAAACAGG